AGUGAACGCUGGCGGUAGGCCUAACACAUGCAAGUCGAACGGCAGCACAGUAAGAGCUUGCUCUUACGGGUGGCGAGUGGCGGACGGGUGAGGAAUACAUCGGAAUCUACUUUUUCGUGGGGGAUAACGUAGGGAAACUUACGCUAAUACCGCAUACGACCUACGGGUGAAAGCAGGGGAUCUUCGGACCUUGCGCGAUUGAAUGAGCCGAUGUCGGAUUAGCUAGUUGGCGGGGUAAAGGCCCACCAAGGCGACGAUCCGUAGCUGGUCUGAGAGGAUGAGCAGCCAGACUGAGACAGAGACACGGACCAGUGAGGGAGGGGAGGGAGCGGGGGGUAAUAGUGAGAGAUGGGGGCAAGCAGGAUCACGCGAGAGCGUGGGGAGGAAGGAGGUCGUCGGGUUGUAAAGCAGUGUUAUUGGGAAGAAAAAGCAGCAGGUUAAGCCCGCGCUGUGCAGAGGGUACCAAAAGAAUAAGCCACGGCUAAAUUGGGGCCAGAAGCGGCGGUAAAAAUGAAGAGCCCACGUCAAAUC
rnacentral:rRNA from 1 species